GAGACUCUGUGCGCGUGCAUAUCAAUAAGCGGAGGAAAAGAAACUAACAAGGAUUCCCUAGUAACGGCGAGUGAAGCGGGAAGAGCUCAAAUUUGAAAUCUACAAGGUUCUACCUUGACGAAUUGUAGUUUAUAGAAGUGUUUUCUGUUAGUGGAGUGGCAAAAGUUCUUUGGAAUAGGACAUCAUAGAGGGUGAGAAUCCCGUAUUUGGUCAUUCCUCCUAGCGUUGUGAUACACUUUCAACGAGUCGGAUUGUUUGGGAAUGCAGUCCAAAAUGGGUGGUAAAUUUCAUCUAAAGCUAAAUAUUGGCGAGAGACCGAUAGCGAACAAGUACCGUGAGGGAAAGAUGAAAAGAACUUUGAAAAGAGAGUUAAACAGUACGUGAAAUUGUCAAAAGGGAAGCGUUUGACACCAGUGUUGUUUAGUUGAAAAUCAAUUCAAUAGUUUUUGAUUCUAAGUAGUAUUGACUUCAUCAGCUUGCUGCUUUCUUCUCAGAAAUUAUUGAAUGCACUUCUCAGUUAACAAGUCAACAUCAAUUUCUUUUGUUGUAAAAGGGUAAGAGGAAGGUGGCUUGUGCUUCGGCUCAAGUGUUUAUAGCCUUGUAUCCUCUGCAAUCGGAGAGAUUGAGGUCUGCAGCGUAGAUCCUUCGGGGUUAGAUACAUUUGUGCUAAGUUAUAGCUUUUUCAUAGACAACUUGUUGACUAUAUUUAGUCUUGUAGCUUACUCGCUUAUGCUAUUUUACCUACGCUUAGGAUGUUGAUCUGUAGUGCGUGCGC
rnacentral:rRNA from 1 species